CCCUUCGUGGCGCAGCCCACGGGAAACCUUUACAAUGCGGGAAACCGAGAUAAGAAGCCUGAGUGCCAGCAUAAAGCAGGCGGUCCACAUAUAUAAAACCAGUUGAUAGUACC
rnacentral:rRNA from 1 species